AAAGGAGAGAGAGAGAGAGAGAGAGAGAGAGAAAGAAAGAAAGAAAACGAGAUAGAAGAGGACAGAUGCAGUAGCGAGGAACGAUAGAACGAGUAAACGUAGUACGAUUUACACGGAAUGAAGAAAAAAGCCAGAGAGCCAAGGGGUACCACUUUUGUCAAAUUUAGAGAGCCAAUUUAGGUUUACGAUUAUGAUAUAGGGUGUGCGAGGAGGAACGAGUGCGAGAGAGCGGAAAGAAAGUGAGAAAGACAGAGAAAGAGCGAGAGAGCGAGAAGGGUAGACAGGGAGGAGGGGAGGGGAAGCAGCGAGAAAACCAAAAAGGAACGACGAAACUGGAGUGGGUACACCGUCAACGAUUUCUUUACAAUGAAAUUCAUCACCUAAUUAAAAGUUUCGUAGAGACGAAUUCCAGCGUAGCAUAGAAGCGUUCCUGUAACAACGCGUAUUAUCGCGGUCGAUCACGUGCCUCGAAUCCGUCGUCAGUUUUAUUCACACUGAAUCUCGACAAAUUAAGGUCGCGCACAAAAACGAACGUUACAAUAUUACAAUCAACCCACCGCACUGAAAGGGAAGGAACCACCGUUUCCGUCGGAUCUCAGGAACAAUCAAACGGACGUUUCCAAUUCGUCAGAUCACGCGAUUUCCGGAUACACAGAAGACCAUCGAUCCCCCGUAGUUAACAUUGUAUCGUGCCGUGGUCGCUUGCCGGCGUAAUCGGCGCACGUUAUCGAUCGCGCGAUCACGCGACACGGACGACCGAUUCUCGAUAUAUCGACGAGGGAGUAAUUUUCGCAACGUUCGAAGAGCGCGCGCGUGUCCUACCACUCGCAACGGUUUCUAAUUUAUCUGUGCGAGACAAUUACGUCCGGAUUUAUUUCGAAAGGGAACACGGAGGAGUACGGGCGAACGAGAGAGAGAGAGAGAGAGAGAGAGAGAGAGAGAGGGAGAGAAGAGGGAGAGAGUGUGUGCGAGUGAACGAGAGAGAGAGAGAGAGAGAGAGAUUGAACGAGAAAAAAAAAAGUAAUGAAGAGACAAGGACAAAGGUGAAAAGAAUUUAAACAAAUACGAUUAGACGACGUUCCGUGGGAGAAAAAAGAACUCGGCCGGGAACUCCUCCGACGAUUUCUUUUUCUUUCGUCCCCCGGUGAAAUGUUUGGGAUCGAGCACGCGAAAUUCCAUGGUGCUGAUCCCUCACGUGAAACCGUUUUUAACCGUAGUUCUGUAUAUAUCCACUGGUUCGGCCAGCCGGCAAACGAAAAGAAGAUGAAACAAAAAGAAAAAAAAAAAAAGUGAGAGAAAAAGAGGGAGAGAAAAAAAAGAAAAUUUUUCGAAAUGCAGCACUGCUACGAUUCGAGGAGUUCAUGGCGGGAUCUACGCGGAAUGAAUUAAUAUAAAGCGUUAGUGACUGUAUCCAGUAUAAUAUAUCUGAUAAAAGAUACCCCUGAUGCCAGACAUGGCGUGUGACAAUAAAGUGAUUCAAUGAUCUCGUCGCAUUUCAAUCGCAGCCACCUUUCACGAUACACACAGGCACACCCACACACACUCUAUAUAUAUAUACAUAUAUAUACACAUACAUACAUACAUACAUACACACACACAAACACACACACAUACACACACGAGACACGUGCAUAUAGACAUGUAUAUUUUAAACGCAAAACGAGAACGUUUUUUUUGUAAAGUACGAGACGACACCGCCGGAAUUCAACGAUCACGAUGUGUAAAAGAAAGUAUCUCAUCGUUUUUCCGAUUACUCGUUACUCCGCUGUUAAUUGAUAAUGUCAGUAAUAUUUUUAACAAAAUAAAGCUACCUUAUUCAAA